rnacentral:rRNA from 1 species
GACGAACGCUGGCGGCGGGCUUAACACAUGCAAGUCGAACGGAAAGGCCCUGCUUUUGUGGGGUGCUCGAGUGGCGAACGGGUGAGUAACACGUGAGUAACCUGCCCUUGACUUUGGGAUAACUUCAGGAAACUGGGGCUAAUACCGGAUAGGAGCUCCUGCUGCAUGGUGGGGGUUGGAAAGUUUCGGCGGUUGGGGAUGGACUCGCGGCUUAUCAGCUUGUUGGUGGGGUAGUGGCUUACCAAGGCUUUGACGGGUAGCCGGCCUGGGAGGGUGACCGGCCACAUUGGGACUGAGAUACGGCCCAGACUCCUACGGGAGGCAGCAGUGGGGAAUAUUGCACAAUGGGCGGAAGCCUGAUGCAGCAACGCCGCGUGCGGGAUGACGGCCUUCGGGUUGUAAACCGCUUUCGCCUGUGACGAAGCGUGAGUGACGGUAAUGGGUAAAGAAGCACCGGCUAACUACGUG